UUUCUCCAUCCUAGUAAUCAAAUUUGAGCAAAAUCAAAUGGGGCUUUCUAUGAAAGUACCUUUUGUUGAUCUGAACGAGCUGGUAAUUUACAAAAUACCCUUCCUUUGUGAGGAAGGCUAAAGAAAAAAAGAAUCAGUAGCUUUUAAAGCUGGGCCUUAGUGGGACUCUAAAUGCAAUGAAAGCAGUCUGUGUUGAGAGACUGAAAUGCAUUUCAAAGCCAGGCCUGAUUCGGGGUACAAGGAAGAACAGACCUAUGUGCAUUUUGUAGGAAGAAAACUGUGAAUGGAAAAAGGAGAAGGGGAGAGAAACGGGGGAAAUCUGGAUAAUACAUUAAAGUAACCAUAAUUUUGGAGAUGCAUUCAUCUUAUUGAAAAUAUGUACGUAACCAGUGAUACCGAAGUCGGAUAUUUGCUCAAUCAGGAUGCUCAACAAUUUGAGCCUUUAAAGUUUGGAGCUGCAUGGGUUUGUGGAGAAAGUCGGCUCGUGAUAUUUCCUCAUGGUUGUGAUUCCUCUUCACUCUUUUGAAUUUGGAAGGAUGGCAUACACAUCUGAAAAAUACCACUACUUCCUUCAUUGGACUGCAAGGUAUUUCUGUUUGGAAAAGUAAUGGAGUCCAGUCAACUUCAUUGAUCGCCAAGGACUGUCAAAAUUAUAAAACUUGCUGUGGAGCUCUGACAUGCCAGAAGCCGCUAGAAAAAGAAGUUUGACAUUCAGAAACUUAUCAAGAGGUUCUACUCUUUGGAUAGAGACCAAAAUCAUACUUUGAAGGGAUUGCAGUGGCAAAGCUAGGCUAGGUCUUGGAGGCUGGUGUAAGGCGAUGUGGGUGAAGGCAGGAGGCUGAUGGAAAGACUGGGGGGAAGAAAAGCCGAAAUGGAUUCACGGUGCCUUGGAUGAAGGACGAGAGGGGAACUGCAAGCUCCUUCAACUGGUUCUGUCCGGUGAGAAGUGAUCAAGCUUGGGCUGACAAGAGGCUCAGGGAGCCCUCACGUUCUUUCGCUUUUUUACCUGCCAAUCAAACUGCUACAAGACAACACCCUGAUCUGGCAUGGACAUUCAUUGCAGUCACCUGGAGUCACGGAAAUGACCAUGAUUGCCUGAACUUUCAUGACUUCUGUGGAUAACUGUGGUUGCAGAAAAGAGAAAACCUGGACCGUGAGGGACAUUUCACUCCCUGGGCUUUGCCUUGGUUGUUUACUUGUAUCUAAGACAGAGGUGUCCAAUAUUUUGGCUUCCCUGGGCCACAAUGGAAGAAGAAUAGUCUUGGGCCACACAUAAAAUACACUAAUGCUAACAAUAGCUGAUGAGCUAAAAAAUAAAAAUAAAAAUACGCCGGGCACGGUGGCCCACACCUGGAAUCCCAGCACUUUGGGACGACGAGGCAGGCGGAUCACAA
rnacentral:lncRNA from 1 species